rnacentral:rRNA from 1 species
UACGUAGGGUGCAAGCGUUGUCCGGAAUUAUUGGGCGUAAAGAGCUCGUAGGCGGUCUGUCGCGUCUGCUGUGAAAACUCAGGGCUUAACCCUGAGCUUGCAGUGGGUACGGGCAGACUAGAGUGCGGUAGGGGAGACUGGAAUUCCUGGUGUAGCGGUGAAAUGCGCAGAUAUCAGGAGGAACACCGGUGGCGAAGGCGGGUCUCUGGGCCGAUAUUGACGCUGGAGGAGCGAAAGCGUGGGGAGCAAACAGG